CCGGCCGUUGGCUUUCGCUUAUGCAGUGAUCACUUCAUAUCAGGGAGAAAGAGUGAUAAUCCGUUGAGUCCGGAUUUUAUCCCCUCAAUUUUCGAUUACCUUCCAUCUCCAGAGAAGAGGAGACAUAAAACGAGACUGGAGGUUUUUAACAGAAGGCAGAAGGCUAAACUGCACAAAGUAGAGCAGGCAAAGAUAUCUGCAGAAGCCAUCCGUCAAAGGACAUCAACUGAUGCAGCCCCAGAAGACCAUAUCACAGAGCCUUUGAAGGAGCCCCCCAUCACAGAUCCGUUGGAAGACUCAGCCGAUGAUCCUGUCCAGCCUGAACCAGUAACACCACCAUGCACCUCUGAAACCUGCUGUACCCGCAUCCAGAGUCUUGAGCAAGAAUGCCAAGCUCUAAGGGCUGAAAAUGUGUUGUUAAGGGAAAAGAUUAAUAGGAAGACCCUGACAGAGAUUAGUUUAAAUAACAAUGAUAAAAAGGUGAAUGUCCUCACUGGGCUGGCAACCUAUGCAUGUCUCAUGACCAUUUUUCAAUAUCUGGCUCCAUUUCUCAAAGUUAAAUCAUCAAUAACAUGUUUUCAACAAUACAUGUUGACUUUGAUGAAGCUUCGAAUGA